rnacentral:piRNA from 1 species
UCUAGAAUCACCUAGGCAUACUGGGAAGGA